rnacentral:tRNA from 1 species
GUCGAGAUGACAGAGUGGCGAUGUGACGGUCUGCAAAGCCGAUCUACGCCGGUUCGAAUCCGGCUCUCGAUUC